GGAACUACUUGCUUUGAACGCAAGAAGAAUAAAAAUUGGGAUGAAUUGAGCUCUUCCGAAGACGAGGAGAAAAUCAAGAAAGGCGAGGUGGCAAACUACGCCUCAACCACUUUCAAAAAUGAGGUAAUCGAAAUCUCCCUAAUUUAUUUCGAAAUUACAUAAUACUUUCAUGAGUUAUUUUUAAUUUAGUUUAGGAUUAAUUUUCUUGAAAAUUACAUGUGUUAUGUUAAUGCAAUAAAAUGUUAGAUAUAAAUCUAAGGCUUAUACACCUAGUAAGAUUAAUCUUAUGUAUGUGCUUGAGAAGCAAGAAUGUGUCUUUUGACGAUUUCUAUAUUUAUUUUCAAUGACGAUGCAUGACUUUUGAAAGGAAGGCUUGAUGAUUUUUU
rnacentral:lncRNA from 1 species